GUACGCGAAGGUGUCGGAGAUGCGGUGGGGUUGGGGAAGGUCAUUCGAUGCUGCGCCGGGAGGCAUCAUCUACUCUACUAGAAGAAUGUUAGCAAAGUAGUGACGAUGUUGCAUGGUGACUGUCACGUCAAAGGACAACACAUGGUUCAGAUUCCUAAAAUAGUUUGACGAUACAUGGCUCACACGAUGAUUGUUAUGUCGAGAAUGGUGCUGCUGGAUAGUCUUAUCAUCUGAUUGCAAGGUAGAAAAUGGUGUUGCUGCUGGAUAGUUUUAUCAUCUGAUUGCAAGGUCGAGAAUGGUGAUGCUACUAGAUAGUCUUAUCAUCUGAUUGCAAGGUUGAGAAUGGUGUUGCUACUGGAUAGUCUUAUGUUAUGUUUUAGGAUAUCAUUUCCAGUGUCAAUGUCUCAAAAAUUGUAAUUUCGAAUAGUUGAGACAAUGAAUGAAAG